rnacentral:rRNA from 1 species
UACGAAGGGGGGCUAGCGUUGCUCGGAAUGACUGGGCGUAAAGGGCGCGUAGGCGGAUGGCACAGUCAGAUGUGAAAUUCCCGGGCUUAACCUGGGGGCUGCAUUUGAUACGUGUUGUCUUGAGUUCGGAAGAGGGUCGUGGAAUUCCCAGUGUAGAGGUGAAAUUCGUAGAUAUUGGGAAGAACACCGGUGGCGAAGGCGGCGACCUGGUCCGACACUGACGCUGAGGAGCGAAAGCGUGGGGAGCGAACAGG